rfam:Paenibacillus sp. FSL A5-0031 NODE_45_length_13493_cov_1.81454_ID_5209, whole genome shotgun sequence.
UCUAACUUUUAGUCCGAAUAGGUAGGGGAAGUACCUGCUAUGGUUUGAAGGUUGGCAAACCAUCCCUAAUACUCCGACAUGCCCACAUCAUCUAUCUGUUGUAGGUAUGAAACUCGGUGAAGGCGCUGAAAGCAGACCUGGAAAGCGGUUAGCGAAGUAAGCGGGGGGCCAUAAG